GGCUGGUUAGCUCAGUUGGUUAGAGUGUGCUGCUGAUAACACUAAGAUCACGGGUUCGAUCCCCAUUCAGUCC
rfam:Apaloderma vittatum contig25272, whole genome shotgun sequence.